rnacentral:misc_RNA from 1 species
GAAAUGCGAUACGUAAUGUGAAUUGCAGAUUUCAGUGAAUCAUCGAAUCUUUAAACGCACAUUGCGCCCGCUAGUAUUCUAGCGAGCAUGCCUGUUCGAGCGUCAUUUCAACCAUCAAGCGCCCGCGCUUGUGUUAGAGCCCUGCGGCUGCCGCAGGCUCCCAAACCCAGUGGCGGGCUCGUCGUCGUACCGAGUACAGUAAACAUCCUCGCUCAGGGAACGCGUCGAGUACCGGCUGUAAAACACCCAACUAUAUUAAGGUUGACCUCGGAUUAGGUAGGAAUACCCGCCGAACUUAA